AUUGAACGCUGGCGGCAUGCCUUACACAUGCAAGUCGAACGGUAACAGGUUAAGCUGACGAGUGGCGAACGGGUGAGUAAUGUAUCGGAACGUGCCCAGUUGUGGGGGAUAACUGCUCGAAAGAGCAGCUAAUACCGCAUACGACCUGAGGGUGAAAGCGGGGGAUCGCAAGACCUCGCGCAAUUGGAGCGGCCGAUAUCAGAUUAGGUAGUGGGUGGGGUAAAGGCUCACCAAGCCAACGAUCUGUAGCUGGUCUGAGAGGACGACCAGCCAGACUGGGACUGAGCGACGGCGCAGACUCGUACGGUAGGCAGAAGUGGGGAAUGUUGGACAGUGGGCGAAAGCCUGAUCCAGCCAUGCCGCGUGCGGGAAGAGGGCCUUCGGGUUGUAAACCGCUUUUGUCAGGGAAGAAACGCUCGGGGUUAAUACCCUGGGGUAAUGACGGUACCUGAAGAAUAAGCACCGGCUAACUACGUGCCAGCAGCCGCCGUAAAAC
rnacentral:rRNA from 1 species